UCCGCCCUGGUGUAAUGGCAGCACCCCGGCCUUUGGAGCCGUGGAGUAUAGGUUCGGAAUCCUAUGGGCGGAA
rnacentral:tRNA from 1 species